UCGGGAAUCUUGCACAAUGGGCGAAAGCCUGAUGCAGCAACGCCGUGUGAGCGAGGAAGGCCUUCGGGUCGUAAAGCUCUGUUGUUGGGGACGAAGGGCGAAGGGUUAAUAGCCCCCAGACUGACGGUACCCUUCGAGGAAGCACCGGCUAACUACGUGCCAGCAGCCGCGGUAAUACGUAGGGGGCGAGCGUUGUCCGGAAUUACUGGGCGUAAAGCGCGCGUAGGCGGACUAUUAAGUCAGGGGUGAUAUCCCGGGGCUCAACCCCGGAACUGCCUUUGAUACUGGUAGUCUUGAGUUCGAGAGAGGUGAGUGGAAUUCCGAGUGUAGAGGUGAAAUUCGUAUAUAUUCGGAGGAAAACCAGUGGCGAAGGCGGCUCACUGGCUCGAUACUGACGCUGAGGUGCGAAAGUGUGGGGAGCAAACAGGAUUAGAUACCCCUGUAGUCC
rnacentral:rRNA from 1 species